rnacentral:tRNA from 1 species
GGGGGUAUAGCUCAGUUGGCUAGAGCGCUUGCAUGGCAUGCAAGAGGCCAUGGGUUCAAGUCCCAUUACCUCCA